rnacentral:rRNA from 1 species
GUGGUUAAUUCGAUGCAACGCGAAGAACCUUACCAGGGCUGACAUCCCGGGAACCCUUGGAAACAGAGGGUGCCCGCAAGGGAGCCCGGAGACAGGUGCUGCAUGGCUGUCGUCAGCUCGUGUCGUGAGAUGUCGGUUAAGUCCGCUAACGAGCGCAACCCUCGCUGUGUGUUAUAUGUGUCACACGGGACUGCCGGUCUUAAGCCGGAGGAAGGUGGGGAUGAUGUCAAGUCAGCAUGGCCUUUAUAUCCUGGGCUACACACACGCUACAAUGGCCAACACAAUAGGUUGCUAAGCCGCGAGGUGGCGCCAAUCCAUAAAGUUGGUCUCAGUUCAGAUUGUAGGCUGCAACCCGCCUGCAUGAAGAUGGAGUUGCUAGUAACCGCAGGUCAGCUAUACUGCGGUGAAUACGUUCCCGGGCUU